rnacentral:rRNA from 1 species
CAGCAGCCGCGGGAAUACGUAGGUCCCGAGCGUUGUCCGGAUUUAUUGGGCGUAAAGGGAGCGCAGGCGGUUCAGUAAGUCUGAAGUUAAAGGCAUUGGCUCAACCAAUGUAUGCUUUGGAAACUGUUAGACUUGAGUGCAGAAGGGGAGAGUGGAAUUCCAUGUGUAGCGGUGAAAUGCGUAGAUAUAUGGAGGAACACCGGUGGCGAAAGCGGCUCUCUGGUCUGUCACUGACGCUGAGGCCCGAAAGCGUGGGUAGCGAACAGGAUUAGAUACCCGGGUAGUCCCUGUCUCUUAUACA